rnacentral:tRNA from 1 species
GGUGAGAUGGCCGAGUGGUUAUGGCGCUGCGUUCAGGAAAUCCUUGAACAAUAUGUCAGGUGUUGGUUUACCAUCCCGAGCAAAAUUUCGCAGUGGAGCAAUCCGCGUGGGUUCGAGUCCCACUCUCAUCA